CUGUAGUUCAGUCGGUAGAACGGCGGACUGUUAAUCCGUAUGUCACUGGUUCGAGUCCAGUCA
rnacentral:tRNA from 100 species